rnacentral:rRNA from 1 species
CUUAUAACUAUACAGAGUCGAGCCUGCCCAGUGAUAUAAUUUAACGGCCGCGGUACUCUGACCGUGCAAAGGUAGCAUAAUCAUUUGCCCUAUAAUUGAGGGCUAGUAUGAAUGGUUUGACAAAAGUGAUUCUGUCUCUAAAAAAUUUUAUAGAAUUUGGUUAUUAGGUGAAGAAACCUAAAUAAUAUUGAUAGACAAGAAGACCCUAUCGAGCUUAAAAAAAAUUUUAUUGACUAAGUAUAAAAAUCAUUUCAAUAAAAAAUUUUGGUUGGGGCGACUAAGGAACAAACAAAGCUUCCUUUAAAAAUAAAAACUGGUAAGUAUUGAUCCAAAAAAUUGAUUAAUAAAAUUAGUUACCGUAGGGAUAACAGCAUAAUCUUUUUCAAGAGUUCUUAUCGAAAAAAAGGUUUGUGACCUCGAUGUUGGACUAGGAUAUCCUGAAAGAUGCAGAAGUCUUCAAAGGUUGGUCUGUUCGACCA